rnacentral:snRNA from 1 species
GGAUAUGAGAGCGAUCUGGCCACCACAUCUGCCACCCCAUUGCUUGCCAGGGUUGAUUCGACUGACUAGCUGGCUAGGCGUAGGCAGGUGUCCCCUUCCUCCCUCACUGUUCCAUGUGCUUCCCCCCGAAAGCUGAUGACUUUCUCCAGAUAGAGGCAGACUGGUCUUUGAUAGAGGGAAUACGAAUAACUGGGCUUCUCUGCUAAAAUCUCCAAACUAGCUCUCAAUUUUAGUUAGAAAGAGACAGAGAGAGGAAAAGGGAGAGGGGAAAAGAGACAUCACAGCACUGUUCCACCAUUCAUGGAACUUCUCCUUG